rnacentral:rRNA from 1 species
CCUACGGGGGGCAGCAGUGGGGAAUUUUGCGCAAUGGGGGAAACCCUGACGCAGCAACGCCGCGUGCGGGACGAAGGCCCUCGGGUCGUAAACCGCUUUCAGCAGGGAAGACCACGACGGUACCUGCAGAAGAAGCUCCGGCUAACUACGUGCCAGCAGCCGCGGUAAUACGUAGGGGGCGAGCGUUAUCCGGAUUCAUUGGGCGUAAAGCGCGCGUAGGCGGCCGCCUAAGCGGAACCUCUAACCCCGGGGCUCAACCUCGGGCCGGGUUCCGGACUGGGCGGCUCGAGUGCGGUAGAGGAGAG